rnacentral:rRNA from 1 species
UCCGUAGGCGGGUUUAUAAGUCAGUGGUGAAAGUUUGCGGCUUAACCGUAAAAUUGCCAUUGAUACUGUAGAUCUUGAAUUAGUGUGAAGUGGUUAGAAUGUGUAGUGUAGCGGUGAAAUGCAUAGAUAUUACACAGAAUACCAAUUGCGAAGGCAGAUCACUAACACUAUAUUGACGCUGAGGGACGAAAGCGUGGGGAGCGAACA